UGGGGAAUUUUGGACAAUGGGCGCAAGCCUGAUCCAGCCAUGCCGCGUGCGGGAAGAAGGCCUUCGGGUUGUAAACCGCUUUUGUCAGGGAAGAAAUCUUCUGAGUUAAUACCUCGGGAGGAUGACGGUACCUGAAGAAUAAGCACCGGCUAACUACGUGCCAGCAGCCGCGGUAAUACGUAGGGUGCAAGCGUUAAUCGGAAUUACUGGGCGUAAAGCGUGCGCAGGCGGUUUUGUAAGACAGGGGUGAAAUCCCCGGGCUCAACCUGGGAACUGCCUUUGUGACUGCAAGGCUUGAGUGCGGCAGAGGGGGAUGGAAUUCCGCGUGUAGCAGUGAAAUGCGUAGAUAUGCGGAGGAACACCGAUGGCGAAGGCAAUCCCCUGGGCCUGCACUGACGCUCAUGCACGAAAGCGUGGGGAGCAAACAGGAUUAGAUACCCUGGUAGUCCACGCCCUAAACGAUGUCAACUGGUUGUUGGGAAGGUUCCUUCUCAGUAACGUAGCUAACGCGUGAAGUUGACCGCCUGGGGAGUACGGCCGCAAGGUUGAAACUCAAAUGAAUUGACGGGGUCAUAGCUGUUUCCUG
rnacentral:rRNA from 1 species